UACGUAGGUGGCAAGCGUUGUCCGGAAUUAUUGGGCGUAAAGCGCGCGCAGGCGGUCCUUUAAGUCUGAUGUGAAAGCCCACGGCUCAACCGUGGAGGGUCAUUGGAAACUGGAGGGCUUGAGUACAGAAGAGGAAAGCGGAAUUCCACGUGUAGCGGUGAAAUGCGUAGAGAUGUGGAGGAACACCAGUGGCGAAGGCGGCUUUCUGGUCUGUAACUGACGCUGAGGAGCGAAAGUGUGGGGAGCAAACAGG
rnacentral:rRNA from 1 species